AUUGAACGCUGGCGGCAUGCCUAACACAUGCAAGUCGAACGGCAGCACAGCCGUAGCAAUACGGUGGGUGGCGAGUGGCGGACGGGUGAGGAAUGCAUCGGAAUCUGCCCGAGCGUGGGGGAGAACGCAUCGAAAGGUGCGCCAAUACCGCAUGAGAUCGAGAGCUGAAAGCGGGGGACCGCAAGACCUGGCGCUAGCGGAGGAGACGAUGCCGGAUGAGCUAGUUGGCGGGGUGAAGGCCCACCAAGGCGACGAUCCGUAGCAGGUCUGAGAGGAUGAUCAGCCACCCUGGGACUGAGAAACGGCCCAGACUCCUACGGGAGGCAGCAGUGGGGAAUAUUGGACAAUGGGCGAAAGCCUGAUCCAGCCAUGCCGCGUGUGUGAAGAAGGUCUUCGGAUUGUAAAGCACUUUAAGUUGGGAGGAAGGGCAGUAAGUUAAUACCGUGCUGUUUUGACGUUACCGACAGAAUAAGCACCGGCUAACUUCGUGCCAGCAGCCGCCGUAAUAC
rnacentral:rRNA from 1 species